UACGUAGGGGCAAGCGUUGUCCGGAAUCAUUGGGCGUAAAGCGCGUGUAGGCGGCUCGGUAAGUCCGCUGUGAAAGUCCAGGGCUCAAACCUGGAAAGCCGGUGGAAACUGUCGAGCUCGAGUCCGGAAGAGGCGAGUGGAAUUCCGUGGUGUAGCGGUGAAAUGCGCAGAUAUCAGGAGGAACACCAAUGGCGAAGGCAGCUCGCUGGGACGGUACUGACGCUGAGACGCGAAAGCGUGGGGAGCAAACAGG
rnacentral:rRNA from 1 species